UGGGGAAUUUUGCACAAUGGGGGAAACCCUGAUGCAGCGACGCCGCGUGAUUUAGAAGGCCUUCGGGUUGUAAAAAUCUUUUCUAUGGGAAGAAAAUGACAGUACCAUAGGAAUAAGGACCGGCUAAUUACGUGCCAGCAGCCGCGGUAAUACGUAAGGCCCGAGCGUUGUCCGGAAUCAUUGGGCGUAAAGGGUACGUAGGCGGGUAAGCAAGUUAGAAGUGAAAUCCUAUAGCUCAACUAUAGUAAGCUUUUAAAACUGCUCAUCUUGAGGUAUGGAAGGGAAAGUGGAAUUCCUAGUGUAGCGGUGAAAUGCGCAGAUAUUAGGAGGAAUACCGGUGGCGAAGGCGACUUUCUGGCCAUAACCUGACGCUGAGGUACGAAAGCGUGGGUAGCAAACAGG
rnacentral:rRNA from 1 species